AGCCAUGUCUCUGAAGUGAGUUCUCGGGAGAAGAGAAAAGGCAUUUGAGUGAUCGAGAAGCAUGUCUCCAAAUGCCCAAUAAACAGCAGCAGCUGAGGGAAGUGUCAGUGUCAGCACAUACACAGUUGCUAUCAGUGACAGCAUGUCCCCCGAACGUAUAGAGAAUGUUGGUGGCACCUGUGAAAUACAGCACCAGCUUGCAAUGGGAGGGGACAACAAGGAUUCCUUUUUGACUGAAAAUUUGAACCCAACAUGUUCAACAAGUUGA